rnacentral:hammerhead_ribozyme from 1 species
AUCCAGCUGAUGAGUCCCAAAUAGUACGAAACGCACAUCAUGGAU